AUUCAGUUGACGAGUCCCAAAUAGGACGAAAUGUGCCUUAUCCUAGAU
rnacentral:hammerhead_ribozyme from 1 species